UAUCUCUAAGACUUACUAAGAUUAUAAUUCUACAAUUCAUAUUCUAAUUUUCUAUUUGUUUAAAUAUUUCUAUACUAUUCACCAUAUAUUAUAGUUUUAAUUACUUUAAAUUCAUCUUUUUAUCCUAAAAUAAUUAGUGAGUUGAUUUGAUGAUUCACAUAUGGCGACCAUGUGGGAUGAUUUAAAGGAGAAAAACCUAGAAUUAAUUGUGUAAAAUUUGCUACUUCAAAAGUGACAUGGCUAUAGAAGUUAUCAAUUUUUUUAAAAUCAAAAUGAGCGAGCUAUUAUUAUUAUUUAAUAUUUCAACUAAGUUGGAUUGAUUUAGUUCAUUACCUAAGAAAAACAAAAGACUUGAAAUCUAUACUGACUAAGACUUUUAAAAACAAGAAAAUACUAAAAAAAUUUAAAAAUUAAUAUUCUAGAAUCUUCUCCAAUCUAAAAAGAACAUGACAUCUAUCUUACAAGGCUUAAAUAUCCUUUGGUUAUUUAUUGUUGGUCUUUCUUGCAUUGAUA
rnacentral:lncRNA from 1 species